rnacentral:lncRNA from 1 species
GGUUGGCUCAAUUUAAAUCAAACCAUCUUGUUUUAAAUUCCCUGCGCCACCCAACUUCCUUGCGCCCAUUUGAAUUCACGAGAAGAAAUUUUCUCGUAAAUUUUCUCCCACGCAAAGCUCUCUCACGCCCAUGUUUCUGUGCGCCAAUUAUUUGGAUUAACUUGGUUUGUUACCCAUCCAAAUUCAAAGGGGUUUUGAAUUUGAAUGGAUAACCAAAUAACCAUG